rnacentral:rRNA from 1 species
AUACGGAGGGUGCGAGCGUUAAUCGGAAUUACUGGGCGUAAAGCGUACGUAGGCGGUUGGUUAAGUUAGAUGUGAAAGCCCCGGGCUUAACCUGGGAACUGCAUUUAAAACUGGCGAACUAGAGUUGGGUAGAGGGAAGUGGAAUUUCAGGUGUAGCGGUGAAAUGCGUAGAGAUCUGAAGGAACACCAGUGGCGAAGGCGACUUCCUGGACUCAAACUGACGCUGAGGUACGAAAGCGUGGGUAGCAAACGGGAUUAGAAACCCCAGUAGUCC